GGGCUGUGCUUGCUUGAGC
rnacentral:misc_RNA from 1 species